rnacentral:rRNA from 1 species
CGCGCACCGAGUCGCCCCAUCCCUCUACCGAGGAGGCGGGACGGGAGAAUGGCCCCCCGUGCCCCCGUGCGCGGCCGGCCCAAACACAGGCCCCGGGAGGCCGACGUCACGAUCCGUGGUGGUUGUAAAAGACACGCCCUUGAAAUCGGAUCCUGUGCACGUCGCGCCGCACCCAGGACCACAACGACCCCCGAGGCCGUCCUUGGACGGCACCCACUCU